rnacentral:misc_RNA from 1 species
CUUAAAAUGCACACAACUUCAUGUGUAAACAUGGAGGUGCAUGCCUCGGACUGGAUUCGAACCCACACCUUCUGGAAUCAGAGGCAACGCAGCUCUGAUAAAUUCAUUAAUGUACAUAUAAUUUAUUACAGAGACAAAUCAAGGGACACUAUGGAAGACAUACCUGAGUAUUAUGUGGAUGAAUAUGUUUUAAAAAGUACACUUGAUUUCUCUAAGAAAUAUCAAAAACAGAGAAGUUAUGAUGAUAAAUUUUAUGAUAUUAAUGGUACAAUAUUCCAUGAUACGAGUAAUGUUCCUGAAGACAUUGGAUUGUUAUCAGAGUUCGAAAUAAAACCAAUGGGUGAAGGAAAUAUCUUGUCUUUGAAGUAUUGCUACGGUAACAGAAAUGGUUUCUGUACACCAAAUAAUGAUAAUGAUCAGUACGAGUAUAAUUCUGAGGACGUAAACUCGGAUAACGAAACAGAAACCAACGUAAAUCAUUCUUCAUAUGCGUCGAUAGCAAAGAAAACAGCUGGUGCGCCGGAUUAUUUAUAUGUAAAAAUAUUAAACGAUAUUAUAAAAAUUAAAUAUAACCAUUGGCACAUGAUCGCCGCGUUCAAACACACAAACGAACUGUACUGUAUGGUGUGCAAGGAAUAUUUACUUCGUACGCAGAAACAGUUACAUUGUACUGAAGAGAAACAUUUGAAUAAGUUGAAAAGCUUUGAAUUUGAUCAGAAAUAUCCAAAUUAUUUUAUAAGACAGAUCGAUGCAAGGCUAUACCAUUGUGGCUUGUGUAACAAUCUAGUAUCUGAUAUAAGAGAACACAUAGAUACGAAACACAAAAAAGAUAUACAUAUUCAUGAUACAAAAACAAACAAAACAAUAAUUUAUACUGAAGGUGAAAACACAGUAAAAGUCAUCAAUUCUAAAGAUGGCGAAAUAAAUGCAACGAAUGCCACUCAUAAUAAAACCAACGAUACAUCUGCAAUGGAAGGCACUGAUCCUAAAAAUAACGAUACAUCUGCAAUUCAAGGCACUGAUCUUAAAAAUAACGAUACAUUUGCAAUGGAAGGCACUGAUUCUAAAAAUAGCGAUACAUCUGCAACGGAAGGCACUCAUACUAAAAAUAACGAUACGUCUGCAACGGAAGGUACCCUUACAAAAAAUAACGAUACGUCUGCAACUGAAGUCACUCAUACUAAAAAUAACGAUACGUCUGCAACGAAAGGCACUGAUCCUAAAAAUAACGAUACGUCUGCAACGAAAGGCACUGAUCCUAAAAAUAACGAUACGUCUACAACGGAAGGCACUGAUCCUAAAAAUAAUGAUACGUCUACAACGGAAGGCACUGAUCCUAAAAAUAAUGAUACGUCUACAACGGAAGGCACUGAUCCUAAAAAUAACGAUAUGUCUGCAACUGAAGUCACUCAUACAAAAAAUAACGAUACGUCUGCAACAGAAGGCACUCAUCCUAAAAAUAACGAAACUACAAAUUUAGACAUUCUUAACAACAACGAAAAUACCGCAACAAAUUGCACAAAUCAGAACGAAAUAAUUGCAACUGAAGAUACUUUACCCAAAAAUGACAUAGGAUACGAGAUAAAUAACAUAACUCCAGAUAUGUAUAAUGACGUCAUAAUAAACCAAUAUGGUUGUGAUAUAAGAAUAUCAUUUAUUGCAUACAAUUUGGUUUGCCGUGUGUCAGAUUUUUAUCAUUGUAUUAUAUGUGAUUUUAUAGCAAACAACAAUGAUAUGUCAUGUCAUGUUAAAGACCCAUGUCAUAAACAGAGAGUCAGAAAUGUACCUUUUCUCAAUAAUUUCAGCAUAAAUUUAAUAAGAAUGCUCGGUUGUAUAAAUCAUUGUGCUAUAUGCAAUGAAGUGUUCUACACGGACACACAGACACACAUAUUGGAAGCGAAACACGUAAAUUGGCGCAACAAAGCAUUGGCAUUGGUAUCAAAUCAUCUUACAAUGCCUACAUUCAAUAUAAAUCCCUUGGCAAUAGAAUCCAAUCGACACGUCACGCAUCAGUCUACAAAUGGCAUGAAUCCUAUCCUAGAUUCGAAUCAACGCGCAACGUAUCAACCUGCUGUUGGAUUGAAUCCGCCGACGAUGGGAUUGAAUCAACGGGGAAUUUAUCAGCCUGCGAUUGGUUUGAAUCCACAGCUCAUACCUCAGCCGUUGUUUAUGCCAAUGCCUCAGCAUCGACCUCAAUUAAUAUUUCAGCCAAUAAUGCUUCAGGAUCAACGCCUAACAAGUAUGAAUCAAUCGGCACCACAACAACCCGUAUUGAAUAUAGACCAAUGGCCUACACUUCCCAAAACGAGGGCUAUGUAUACACCAAAUAUGAAUCCCUACACGACGCGACCUAAAAAUGAUAACAAAGAACACAAAGUCAUUGAGGAAUUGAAUCAACUAAAAAAAGGAUUCAAAGUCAUUGAGCUUGAUGAUUCGAAUGAAUCAAAAACAGAUCCCAAAGUUAUAGAUGAUUUGAAUCACUCUAAAUUUAUGAAUCCACCGGCGACAGAUUCUAAAGAAGAGGAUAUUACCCAAGAACCAGUUGAGCAAUUAGAAUUAAUAGGCGAUAUUUUGAAUACGUAUGAAUCCUUCGACGACGAUUUUGAAUAUUUCAACGAUAAAUUCGUUUAUUUGAAGCACAGAAAUACAUACACACAAAUUGAUUUAGUGUCAUACAAUAGUUUGGUGAAUGUGGGGGACGGUUCGAGAUAUUGUUUUGUGUGUUCGAGCCAAGUGUGUGGUUCUUUAAAAGGCCACGUAAACAGUUUGAAGCAUACAAAAUGUAUGGAUGAAUGCAAGUUUGUUGAGAAGUAUGAAAAACAUCUUUUGCGACAGAUCUGUUUCAACUACCACUGUGGUAUUUGUAACGUGGUUUUUACACAAAAAUAUAUAGACACACACACAGCGUGGCCCCCGCAUUUGAGAGACAACAAGACAGACAGAAAAACAAGAAAAAACAACCUCAAAUCUGGCAGCAAAUCCCUAAAUAUUCAAUUCAAGAAAAACACAUCACACAAUGAAAACAAGAUGGAAGAUAUCAAAAUAUUACUCAAAAUUGAGGUCAAAACAAAUAUAUGUAACAACGAGCAUGUCACAAAGAAGAACAAAAUUAUUAUUUUUGGUGAUUUUGUAUUGAAAAUUUCCUGGGACUCAUAUCAUGGAUUUGUCAGAACGAAGUGUGUUGGCGCGAGGAAGGCGUUGCGUUGUGCGUUGUGCGUUUGUGACGUCAGAUUCUACGAGGUGAGCGCGCACGUCGCCGCCGAGCGCCACAGCCAACUACUAGACAAGUUCCUAACGCAACACUUGCCGCAUCUCAUCAGAAAGGUAACUGUAGACAAUGUUUGCGUUGUGCGUUGUGCGUUGUGACGUCAGAGGCUACGAGGUGAGCGCCACAGCCAACUACUAGACAAGUUCCUAACGCAACACUUGCCGCAUCUCAUCAGAAAGGUGAACGAUUAUUCACUGCACUGCGCGAUUUGCAAUACUGAAGUCGCUAACAACAAUCAAAUGCUUGCUGACCAUUUGAAU